UACGGAGGAUCCAAGCGUUUAUCCGGAUUUAUUGGGUUUAAAGGGUGCGUAGGCGGCCUAUUAAGUCAGGGGUGAAAGACGGUAGCUUAACUAUCGCAGUGCCUUUGAUACUGAUGGGCUUGAAUGAACUAGAGGUAGGCGGAAUGUGACAAGUAGCGGUGAAAUGCAUAGAUAUGUCACAGAACACCAAUUGCGAAGGCAGCUUACUAUGGUUUUAUUGACGCUGAGGCACGAAAGCGUGGGGAUCAAACAGG
rnacentral:rRNA from 1 species